CCUACGGGCGGCAGCAGUGAGGAAUAUUGGUCAAUGGACGAGAGUCUGAACCAGCCAAGUAGCGUGAAGGAUGACUGCCCUAUGGGUUGUAAACUUCUUUUAUAUGGGAAUAAAAUGUUCCACGUGUGGGAUUUUGUAUGUACCAUAUGAAUAAGGAUCGGCUAACUCCGUGCCAGCAGCCGCGGUAAUACGGAGGAUCCGAGCGUUAUCCGGAUUUAUUGGGUUUAAAGGGAGCGUAGGUGGAUUGUUAAGUCAGUUGUGAAAGUUUGCGGCUCAACCGGAAAAUUGCAGUUGAAACUGGCAGUCUUGAGUACAGUAGAGGUGUGCGGAAUUCGUGGUGUAGCGGUGAAAUGCUUAGAUAUCACGAAGAACUCCGAUUGCGAAGGCAGUUCACUGGACUGCAACUGACACUGAGGCUCGAAAGUGUGGGUAUCAAACAGGAUUAGAUACCCCUGUAGUC
rnacentral:rRNA from 1 species